GCCUUCGUGGUGUAGCGGUCAGCAUGCUCGACGCGUAUUCGAGAGGUCGGUGGUUCGAGUUCCGCCGAGGGCA
rfam:Stegodyphus mimosarum contig59630, whole genome shotgun sequence.